rnacentral:rRNA from 1 species
GACGAACGCUGGCGGCGUGCUUAACACAUGCAAGUCGAACGGAAAGGCCCAGCUUGCUGGGUGCUCGAGUGGCGAACGGGUGAGUAACACGUGGGUGAUCUGCCUCUAACUUCGGGAUAAGCUUGGGAAACUGGGUCUAAUACCGGAUAGGACAAUCGUUUAGUGUCGGUUGUGGAAAGUUUUUUCGGUUAGGGAUGAGCCCGCGGCCUAUCAGCUUGUUGGUGGGGUAAUGGCCUACCAAGGCGUCGACGGGUAGCCGGCCUGAGAGGGUGGACGGCCACAUUGGGACUGAUAUACGGCCCAGACUCCUACGGGAGGCAGCAGUGGGGAAUAUUGCACAAUGGGCGCAAGCCUGAUGCAGCGACGCCGCGUGGGGGAUGACGGCCUUCGGGUUGUAAACCUCUUUCGACAGGGACGAAGCUUUGGUGACGGUACCUGUAUAAGAAGCACCGGCUAACUACGUG